GACUUAUGGUGUCUUAGAAGAGGCACUUGUACCCCUGGUUAUGGCGACACUUCUUGGGCUAAGAUUCUUAAUCUUAGCCCUGACUGGAUUGGCAGUAUGUAAAGAAUCAACAGGCCAAAACUCAACCACACCUCCCACGCAGCAAACCACCAUUGCAAAUUCCAGUAAAGACACAAACACCUCUGACUCCACAAGCACUGGGUCCAACAAUACAGCAGCCUCACCCUCAUCCAUUACACCUGACACAACAGAUACAAACACCUCUGACUCCACAAGCACUGGGUCCAACAAUACAGCAGCCUCACCCUCAUCCAUUACACCUGACACAACAGAUACAAACACCUCUGACUCCACAAGCACUGGGUCCAACAAUACAGCAGACUCACCCUCAUCCAUUACACCUGGCACAACAGACACAAACACCUCUGACUCCACAAGCACUGGGUCCAACAAUACAGCAGGCUCACCCUCAUCCAUUACACCUGACACAACAGGUAACAACACCAGCAAAUAUGACACAGAGCUCUUGUAA
ensembl:lncRNA